rnacentral:rRNA from 1 species
AUUGAACGCUGGCGGCAUGCCUAAUACAUGCAAGUCGAGCGAGCGGCGGACGGGUGAGUAAUGCCUGGGAAUUGCCCAGUCGAGGGGGAUAACAGUUGGCAACGACUGCUAAUACCGCAUACGUUUCGAUUGCUGAGGUGGGAUUAGCUAGUUGGUGAGGUAAUGGCUCACCAAGGCGACGAUCCAUAGCUGGUCUGAGAGGGUGAUCAGCCACACUGGAACUGAGACACGGUCCAGACUCCUACGGGAGGCAGCAGUGGGGAAUAUUGCACAAUGGGGGAAACCCUGAUGCAGCCAUGCCGCGUGUGUGAAGAAGGCCUUCGGGUUGUAAAACACUUUCAGCGGGGAAGCGUUACUCGCAGAAGAAGCACCGGCUAACUCCGUGCCAGCCGCCGCGGUAAUAC